GGUAAAGGAGCGUGUCCCUCCUGAGUUAUAUAUUACCAAGUCUAUUCCAAUGUCCACUACAGUCCUUUAUUUUCUUUUUUUUUACAUCGAUGUCCCAUCCAGCCCGCUCUGGUGUCCCAGGAAGACAACUCGGCUGUACACAAACCAUGUGUCUCGUUCAGGCGACGCGUGCCGUUUGGCUCUACGCAUCGUUGUCCUGUAGGAGGCCACGCAUUGUAGCUAUUUAUCUGAUGUUCAAAAAAAAGUAGCUAUUUAUCUUCUCAGCUGUCCUCCCUCAUCCUCGUCUCUCCCCACCACAUAUUCUUCAGCAUAUCCUCGAUUCCCUUCCUAUCUUCUCUGCCCAGUGGUAGCGGUGCAAGCUCGAUCCAGACCCCUUCUCCUCCUUCGGACCGAGGCCACACACACCACUGAGCUCCUCCUCCUCCUCCCCCUUCCUCCGCACGCGCUCAACGCCAGGUCUAAUCAGGGAGCAACACAGGGCAGCACCUCUCGUUCUUCCUCCCUUCAUCCACUGUCUCUCAGUUCUUUCUUUUUCCCUUGGUCAGGUCAUGCAGGGAGCGCACACGCAGGGGCCUUAGUGGCUGUUGUCGCCGCCACCACACCCGGGCGUUGUCGCGCCACCGCCACCUCCUCCUCCCUCCUAGUUCGUCGGCCGUUGGUGCCCGCCCCCCUGCAUCUGCCACCGCCACCCCCUCUCUGGCUCACCUCCAUGCGUGAGGGCAACGAUGGUAGCGCCCGACGUCCACCGUCCCAGGCCCGUCCCUCGCCGACGGGAGAGUGCCGGUCUGCGGAUUGUAACCUCCUAUUACCGAGGAACUUUUUUAUUCCUUGAAUCACUCUUCCCACUUGCUGGAUUAAUUUCUUUGCUCUAUUCUCUUCUCUGCUUAUUGACUUGUGAUGCAGCAAGGCUGCCGAUGUAUGAAAAUUGACAUAUUAGGUGUAAAAGAGCGAGGUGAGACUAAGGCGGGGCGGUGCAGGAGGCGGCCGGCGGAGCGGGACAGGAGGCCACCGGUGGAGUGCGGCGAGAUAGGAGGCUGCCGGCGGAGCGAGGCGAGGCAGGGCAGGAGGCAGCCGCUGGAGUAAUUUCUUUGCUCUAUUCUCGUCUCUGCUUAUUGACUUGUGAUGCAGCAAGGCCGCCGAUGUAUAAAAAUUGACAUAUUAGGUGUAAAAGAGCAAGGUGAGACUGAGGCGGGGCGGUGCAGGAGGCGGCCGGCGGAGCGGGACAGGAGGCUGCCGGUGGAGCGCGACGAGAUAGGAGGCUGUCGGCGGAGCGAGGCAAGGCAGGGCAGGAGGCGGCCGGCGAAGCACGGUGAGUCGGGGCGACGCAGGAGGCGCCUUCCGGAGCGCGGCGAGGCGGGACGGGAUAGGAGGCGGAUGGCGGAGCAGGAGGCGGGGGAGCAGGAGGCGGGGCAGAGCGCGGAGAGGCAGAGGCGCGACUGUUUUUUCCUUCGUACCGGUUCGGGCUGACUUAUCACGAGGACUGCGGGUUGAAUAACUACAACAGCAGGGACUUUUUUGCGAAAACGCCGAUGACGUACAACAGAAACCUAAUUUGCUUUAUUAUUAGGUAAAGAUUUUUGUGGAUAGUAAUAUCGAAAUAAUAGGUUAGGAAUUAGGUCUGCUCCCACAAGCCAACCUGGCGCCUCCCCCUAGGGCGCGCCCCCCCGGGCUUGUGGGGCCCACCGCCCACUUCUGGCUCCCUCUUGAAGCUUCUAGUGUUACAUAUACUCCAUAAAAAAUCAUCGUAAGUUUUCAUCGUGUUUGGACUUCUGUAGAUGUGGAUCUUCUGCGAAAUCAAAACUUGCAAAAAAACAGGAAUUGACACCAGACACUAAACUAAUAGUUUAGUCCAAAAAAAUUAUAUAAAAUAACAUAUAAAGCAUACAAAAAAUGAUAAUAUAAUAGCACGAAACAAUCAGAAAUUAUGGAUGCGUUGGAGACGUAUCGAUGAGCCACAAAUGUCAUGCACAAUAUGACCGCGCACCUAACCCACAAACAUCCGUGAAACCACAAGUGUCGGCUCUGAUACCAACUUGUAAUGCCCCAAAAACACCCGCCGGUUACUGGUUGUUACUCCUGGCGGGAUCUAGACUAGCCUCACAGAGCAACACUAGUCUUUCUGCGCACUUUGUCCUCACUUGUGCGCAUCUGGGACCAACUUCUAUGUCGGUCAUCUAUCCUGAAAUUGCUCUAAGCUGAGCACGCUUAACUUUGGAGUUCUUUUGAAUGGGCUCCCAAAAGAGAAAUAAUUUCUUGUUGAUAUGAGUAGUCUAUCAUUCGUAUUAAGCCAGGCUCUCACACUGGUAGGCGGCGGUGCACGCCCUCUCUCUCAAGCAAAAAGGAAGAUCAAGGAACAUCCACCUGUCGGUGCCCUAGAAGCCGCGUCUGCCUUAUGCCGCUCCUGCUCCUUGAACCACGCUAUAGGGAAACCCCAGGCUCACACUCUCGCACGUUUAGAUCCCGUUGCAGCUUCAUGUGCAACUCUGCCUGAUAGCGGAGGUCAGCCUCAACACCUGUCGCUGGAUCUAACGGGCGCUCGCAUUGGGGUUCUGAUAUGUCUUCAACGUAUCUAUUUUUUUGAUUGUUCCAUGUUAUUAUAGUAUCAAUCUUGGAUUUUUUUGUGCAAUUAUAUGCUAUCUUAUAUUAUUUUUUGGGACUAACCUAUUAACUUAGUGCUUUGUGCCAGUUGUUAUUUUUUUGCCUGUUUUUGGUUGUCCAGAAAAUCAAUACCAAAUGGAGUCCAAAUGCUACAAAAAGAAAAUAGAAGAUUGACUUUGGAACAUGUUAUGCAAAAGAAAAUCAGUCCAAACAGAGUCCAAAUGGUACAAAAAGAAGAUUGACUUUGGAUUCCAAAAAGAAAAUAAGUCCAAACGGAGUCCAAAUGCUACAAAAGGAAAACAGAGUCCAAAUAUAUAAACACUUUUGCUCUUCUUUUGGACUCUAAAUUGCAUGAUUUGAAUGAAAUUAACCCGGACUGACACUGUUUUCAGCAGAACUACCAUGGUGUUAUUUUUGUGCAGAAAUAGAAGUUCUCGAAAUUGGAUGGGACUUUUUGGAGAUUUAUUUUGGAAUAAAAGAAAAAUACUGGAGCAAAGACCCACCGGAGGGGGGGGGGGUGGCUGCUGCCCACUAGGCACCAGGGUGCGCCUCCCCCCUCUAGCGCGCCCUAGUGGGCAGUGGGGCCCACGAGGCUCCGCUGACCCUAACCUGUAUAUUAUAAAUUCCUAUUUCCCGAGGAAAAAAUCAGAUAGGAAGUUUCGUUGCGUUUUACAAUAGGGAGCUGCCGCCACCUCCAUUUCUUCAUCGGGAGGCCAGAUCUGGAGUUCGUUCGGGUCUCUGGAGAGGGAGAUCUUCCAUCUUCUUCAUCAUCAACCAUCCUCCAUCACCAAUUUCAUGAUGCUCACCGCCGGGAGUGAGUAAUUCCUUCGUAGGCUUGCUGGACGGUGAUGGGUGGGAUGAGAUUCAUCAUGUAAUCGAGUUAGUUUUGUUAGGAAACAUGCCCGUGCGUUGCUACGGGGUUGAGGGAAAAUUGUGGGAGAGAGAGGGGUGCAUGGACGACUUCUGGCGAGUGCAUUUUUUUCUCAACUUUGAAGCACAUUUUGACAGAGUUUAGUAACUAAUUCAAAGGAUAGUAAGAUGCACAUUGUUUUUUGUCAGACUUCAAUAUGACGUUGUAGGUUAGACCAUCAAUAUAUAUUGGCCAUGCAUAUCUCACGUGUAAAUUAACCAGCAUGCUGAUAAUGAAAAAAUCAUACACGCAACACUUAUGUUGAGUUACUUGUAUUACACAAUAAAAAUGUUGGAUACUUCGUCUAGUGUCUAAGAAUAUCGUGUGUGUGCUAACCGUGAAGUCCUUGUCGUAUAGAUGUAAUAACUUCCUGCUGGCGAUAUAUGCAGGAUUCUCCCUCGCAAUUGAGUCUCUUUACUUAGUGAGUUGAGCCUCAAUUCACGGUUAAUUGUAAUUCACUUUAUUCUUGUUUUCUAUUGUUCUAGUUGUAUAUAUGCGUAUUUUUGCCUUUCCCAUGCGUUUUUUUUUAUCUUACGUGUUUGCUCCAUGUUUGCAUAUUUCUUCUUCCCUCGUGUAUAUUUUUUUGCAAAUGGGUCGAAUCUUUGAUUCUUUUAUUUGCUUGAUAGGCUUCAUGAAAUUUUUGUAGUUUUUUUCUAUUUUUCUUCAUUGGUCAUCCAUACAUACCACUCUCUAUCUUUUUUUCCUUCUUUGUUACAUGAAAUCCAUGAUUCGAGAUUGCCGUCCAAAUUGCUUGCAUGCAUGAUAGUUUUGUAUACCAUAUGAAGUUGUUAUUGAUUAACUAACGAAUAUAAAAUAUGCAUCAUAAAUAGAGCAUAUGUAGGUACUAAUAAAUAAUCUAAUCACGCUGGACAUAAGCACCAGAAUGUAUGUGUUGUUUGCAUGCUAGAGUAUCAUGUUUUUUCUUGAAACAAUUUAGAAAGCAGGCAAAUUAACCAUUGCAGUGCUAUCAAACAAUAAAAAUCUCGUACAUGCAACACUUCCAAAGUAAUUUUAUCUGGAUGAAAUUGUUCUUGUUUCUCCAUGGCAUCAAUGUUCGGGUUAAAAGGAUGUAUAAGAUGGUUGCAUCGUUUCUUCGUACCACCUUCAACAUAACCAUCUUCAGGGACAUCUGUAAAAAACAUCUUCAGAGAUGUCAAGCAUGACAUCUUCUUACUGAUGGAGAACAACAAUUUUAUUGAGAGCAAUUAAAGACCAUGUGGCCAUGAUAUGUAAAUGCCUAUGUUUUGGUGUCCAUGAUUUAUUAUACUUGUAUAAACCGGAAUCAGCAGCGCCAGAAGAUAAUUUUUGUAUUUACUUCAUUAGGUGUCCAAGCAUAAAUGUUGCUGUCAUGUCUGUCCUGGCCUAUGUAAUCAGUCAAAAACAUAAACAAAUGCAAAUCUAACUUCAAGGAAAAAAGUUAAAGGCAAACGUAUAUUAGUAGAGAAUCAAAGGAUUUGAUGGGUAAAGGAGCGUGUCCCUCCUGAGUUAUAUAUUACCAAGUCUACUCCAAUAUCCACUGCAGUCCUUAUUUUCUUUUUUUACAUCGAUGUCCCCUCUAGCCCGCUCUAGUGUCCCAGGAAGACAACUCGGCUGUACACAAACCAUGUGUCUCGUUUAGGCGACGCGUGCCGUUUGGCUCCACGCAUCGUUGUCCUGUAGGAGGCCACGCAUUGUAGCUAUUUAUCUGAUGCUCAAAAAAAGUAGCUAUUUAUCUUCUCAGCUGUCCUCCCUCAUCCUCGUCUCUCCCCACCACAUAUUCUUCAGCAUAUCCUCGAUUCCCUUCCUAUCUUCUCUGCCCAGCGGUAGUAGUGCAAGCUUGAUCCAGACCCCUUCUCCUCCUUCGGAUCGAGGCCACACACACCACUGAGCUCCUCCUCCUCCUCCCCCUUCCUCCCCACGCGCUCAACGCCAGGUCUGAUCAGGGAGCAACACAGGGUAGCACCUCUCAUUCUUCCUCCCUUCAUCCACUGUCUCUCAGUUCUGUCUUUUUCCCUUGGUCAGGUCAUGCAGGGAGCGCACACGCAGGGGCCUUAGUGGCUGUUAUCGCCGCCACCACACCCGGGCGUUGUCGCGCCACCGCCGCCUCCGCCUCCCUCCUAGUUCGUCGGCCGUUGGUGCCCGCCCUCCUGCGUCUGGCACCGCCACCCCCUCUCUGGCUCACCUCCAUGCGUGAGGGCAACGACGGUAGCGCCCGACGUCCACCGUCCUAGGCCCGUCCCUCGCCGACGGGAGAGUAUUGGUCUGCGGAUUGUAACCUCCUAUUACAGAGGAACUUUUUAUUCCUUGAAUCACUCUUUCCACUUGCUGGAUUAAUUUCUUUGCUCUAUUGUCUUCUCUGCUUAUUGACUUGUGAUGCAGCAAGGCUGCCGAUGUAUAAAAAUUGACAUAUUAGGUGUAAAAGAGCGAGGUGAGACUGAGGCGGGGCGGUGCAGGAGGCGGCCGGCGGAGCGGGAUAGGACGCCGCCGGUGGAGCGCGGCGAGAUAGGACAUAACCUCCAUUACAACAUUCAUACCAUAGGCUAGCUUUUAGGGUUUACCCUCCUUGAUCUCGUGGUAGAUCUACUCUUGUACUACCCAUAUCAUCAAUAUUAAUCAAGCAGGACGUAGGGUUUUACCUCCAUCAAGAGGGCCCGAACCUGGGUAAAACAUCGUGUCCCUCGUCUCCUGUUACCAUCCGCCUAGACGCACAGUUCGGGACCCCCUACCCGAGAUCCGCCGGUUUUGACACCGACAUUGGUGCUUUCAUUGAGAGUUCCUCUGUGCCGUCACCGAUAGGCUCGAUGGCUUCUCC
rnacentral:lncRNA from 1 species